AGAUUGAACGCUGGCGGCAGGCCUAACACAUGCAAGUCGAGCGGUAGAGAGGUGCUUGCAUCUCUUGAGAGCGGCGGACGGGUGAGUAAUAUAUCGGAACGUGCCCAGUCGUGGGGGAUAACGCAGCGAAAGCUGUGCUAAUACCGCAUACGAUCUAUGGAUGAAAGCGGGGGAUCGCAAGACCUCGCGCGAUUGGAGCGGCCGAUAUCAGAUUAGCUAGUUGGUGGGUAAAAGCCUACCAAGGCGACGAUCUGUAGCUGGUCUGAGAGGACGACCAGCCACACUGGAACUGUGACACGGUCCAGACCUCGACGGGAGCAGCAGGUGGGUAAUUUGGAACAGUGGGCGCAAGCCUGAUCCGAGCAAGUCGACCGCGUGACAGGAGUA
rnacentral:rRNA from 1 species